rnacentral:rRNA from 1 species
GAACGGAAAGGCCUCAGCUUGCUGGGGUACUCGAGUGGCGAACGGGUGAGUAACACGUGGGUGAUCUGCCCUGCACUUUGGGAUAAGCCUGGGAAACUGGGUCUAAUACCGAAUAUGACCACUUCUUGGAUGUUGUGGUGGAAAGCUUUUGCGGUGUGGGAUGAGCCUGCGGCCUAUCAGCUUGUUGGUGGGGUAAUGGCCUACCAAGGCGGCGACGGGUAUCCGGCCUGAGAGGGUGUACGGACACAUUGGGACUGAGAUACGGCCCAGACUCCUACGGGAGGCAGCAGUGGGGAAUAUUGCACAAUGGGCGCAAGCCUGAUGCAGCGACGCCGCGUGGGGGAUGAAGGCCUUCGGGUUGUAAACUCCUUUCGCUAUCGACGAAGCCACUUUGUGGUGACGGUAGGUAGAUAAGAAGCACCGGCUAACUACGUGCCAGCAGCCGCGGUAAUACGUAGGGUGCAAGCGUUGUCCGGAAUUACUGGGCGUAAAGAGCUCGUAGGUGGUUUGUCGCGUCGUCUGUGAAAUCCCGGGGCUUAACUUCGGGCGUGCAGGCGAUACGGGCAUAACUUGAGUGCUGUAGGGGAGACUGGAAUUCCUGGUGUAGCGGUGAAAUGCGCAGAUAUCAGGAGGAACACCGAUGGCGAAGGCAGGUCUCUGGGCAG